rnacentral:lncRNA from 1 species
AAAAACCAAAAGAGAUAAAAAAAAAAAAAAAAAAAAAGGAAAAUAGAAAAAGGGCUCUUUUCACGCGUGCUAAGGGAGCAUCCUACGGUCACCAUCAUGGCCGCAUUAAACGGAAACCAUUGAGAAUUGUUUCAUCGGACGGCUCACACUAACCGUGUUUGACUCUCUUCUGUCCUCACGCGUGCUCCCUUCCCUCUCUCUCUCUCUCUCUCUCUCUCUCUCUCUCCAUUACGCCAUUAUUUUUAUUUUUUAAUUUCUUUUAUCACAAUACUAAUCUCUUGUAUUGUUUACCAACUUAUUGCAUGCUUUAUAAUUCCAAAAAAAAAACCCCAUUGACAUAGUGAUUUACAU